AGAGUUUGAUCCUGGCUCAGGAUGAACGCUAGCUACAGGCUUAACACAUGCAAGUCGAGGGGCAGCAUGGUCUUAGCUUGCUAAGGCCGAUGGCGACCGGCGCACGGGUGAGUAACACGUAUCCAACCUGCCGUCUACUCUUGGACAGCCUUCUGAAAGGAAGAUUAAUACAAGAUGGCAUCAUGAGUCCGCAUGUUCACAUGAUUAAAGGUAUUCCGGUAGACGAUGGGGAUGCGUUCCAUUAGAUAGUAGGCGGGGUAACGGCCCACCUAGUCUUCGAUGGAUAGGGGUUCUGAGAGGAAGGUCCCCCACAUUGGAACUGAGACACGGUCCAAACUCCUACGGGAGGCAGCAGUGAGGAAUAUUGGUCAAUGGGCGAGAGCCUGAACCAGCCAAGUAGCGUGAAGGAUGACUGCCCUAUGGGUUGUAAACUUCUUUUAUAAAGGAAUAAAGUCGGGUAUGCAUACCCGUUUGCAUGUACUUUAUGAAUAAGGAUCGGCUAACUCCGUGCCAGCAGCCGCGGUAAUACGGAGGAUCCGAGCGUUAUCCGGAUUUAUUGGGUUUAAAGGGAGCGUAGAUGGAUGUUUAAGUCAGUUGUGAAAGUUUGCGGCUCAACCGUAAAAUUGCAGUUGAUACUGGAUAUCUUGAGUGCAGUUGAGGCAGGCGGAAUUCGUGGUGUAGCGGUGAAAUGCUUAGAUAUCACGAAGAACUCCGAUUGCGAAGGCAGCCUGCUAAGCUGCAACUGACAUUGAGGCUCGAAAGUGUGGGUAUCAAACAGGAUUAGAUACCCUGGUAGUCCACACGGUAAACGAUGAAUACUCGCUGUUUGCGAUAUACGGCAAGCGGCCAAGCGAAAGCGUUAAGUAUUCCACCUGGGGAGUACGCCGGCAACGGUGAAACUCAAAGGAAUUGACGGGGGCCC
rnacentral:rRNA from 1 species